GUUUCGGCUAAGCCAUGCGAGUCUAGGGAUCGCAAGAUACCGGCAUACUGCUCAGUAACACGCGGAUAAUCUGCCCCCAGGUGAAGAAUACCCUCGGGAAACUGAGGCUAAUACUUCAUAAUCACUAUAUGCUGGAAUGCUUUGGUGAUGAAAGAAUAUCGCCUGAGGAUGAGUCUGCGGCCUAUCAGGUCGUAUGUGGUGUAAUGGACCACAUAGCCUAAGACGGGUACGGGCCUUGAAAGAGGGAGCCCGGAGAUGGACUCUGAGACAUUAGUCCAGGCCCUACGGGGCGCAGCAGGCGCGAAAACUGCGCAAUGCGCGAAAGCGCGACACGGGAAGCCUGAGUGCCUUAACACAGUUAAGGCUUUUCUCAAGCCUAAAAAGCUUGAGGAA
rnacentral:rRNA from 1 species